rnacentral:rRNA from 1 species
GACGAACGCUGGCGGCGUGCCUAACACAUGCAAGUCGAACGGGGUUGCCCUUCGGGGCAACUUAGUGGCGAACGGGUGAGUAACGCGUGAGGAACCUGCCUUCCAGUGGGGGACAACAGUUGGAAACGACUGCUAAUACCGCAUAACACAACGAGACCGCAUGAUCUUGUUGUCAAAGCUUUAUGUGCUGGAAGAUGGCCUCGCGUCUGAUUAGCUAGUUGGUGGGGUAACGGCCCACCAAGGCGACGAUCAGUAGCCGGUCUGAGAGGAUGAACGGCCACAUUGGGACUGAGAUACGGCCCAG